UCUUCCUCAGCUCCUAACUGUGGAACUUAGUUACAAAUUAGAACCCAAUUGAGAGAACAUGAGGAGGAGAGAAUUAGUCAUAUGCUCCUUUUCCAUUCUGUGCCUCCUGGCUCAGUCUACAUGUGAAAGCGCUUUCACUCCUACAACUGGAGAUUCUGGACCUCUCAGGCAGCAUGAUCAACUUAAGGUUAAGGAUAUACAUGAAAUGACGACAAGAUCAAGUAGAAAAAUCCAUGAAAGACGAUAUGGGAGAAUGCAUCAAGUUCAUCAUCUAAGGACUUCCCAGAAAGCAAGGGCAAUCUAUGGUGGUGCCUCUGACCUUAAGCGCCCCCGUACCAACCAUAAUGCAGCAAGCUCUGUACCAGUUAAACCCACCCUCGCUUUAUUCCUCUCGGCACUGGCCGUGCUUAUAUUUUCUUUGUAGUAAUUUUAAUUGCUUGGGUGACUUCGCAAACAUGAUUUAGGACUCAAUGUGGACGUUUUGUGACAAAACUCAUUCAUGUUAAAGGCCUCUUUUUAAAUCCAUUGCCCUAACCUGCUUCUAUCUA